rnacentral:rRNA from 1 species
CGUGCUUAACACAUGCAAGUCGAGCGAUGAAGUUUCCUUCGGGAAGCGGAUUACCGGCGGACGGGGGAGUAACACGUGGGUAACCUGCCUCAUAUAGUGGAAUAGCCUUCCCAAAGGAACAUUAAUACCGCAUAACGUUGAAGGAUGGUAUCAUCAUUCAACCAAAAGAGCAAUCCGCUAUGAGAUGGACCCGCGGCGCAUUACCUAGUUGGUGGGGGAACGGCCUACCAAGGCGACGAUGCGUAACCGACCUGAGAGGGUGAUCGGCCACCUUGGGACUGAGACACGGCCCACACUCCUACGGCAGGCAGCAGUGGGGAAUAUUGCACUUUGGGGGAAACCCUGAUGCCUCAUCCCCGCGUGAGUGAUGAAGGUUUUCGGAUCUUAAAGCUCUGUCUUUGUUUAAGAUAAUGACGGUACCCCCUGAGGAAGCCACGGGUAACUACCUGCCAUCUGCCGCGGUAAUACGUAUGUGUGCGAGCGUUAUCCGGAUUUACUGGGCGUAAAGGGAGCGUAUGCGGAUGAUUAAUUGGGAUGUGAAAUACCCGGGCUCAACUUGGGUGCUGCAUUCCAAACUGGUUAUCUAGAGUGCAAGAGAGGAGAGUGAAAUUCCUACUGUAGCGUUGAAAUGCGUAGAGAUUAUGAAGAACACCAGUGGCGAAGGCGACUCUCUGGACUGUAACUGACGCUGAGGCUCGAAAGCGUGGUGAGCAAACAGGAUUAGAUACCCUGGUAGUACACGCCGUAAACGAUGAAUACUAGGUGUGGGGGUUUCAACACAUCCGCGCCGCCGCUAACGCAUUAAGUAUUCCGCCUGGGGAGUACGGUCGCAAGAUUAAAACUCAAAGGAAUAGACGGGGAGCCGCACAAGUAGCGGAGCAUGUGGUUUAAUUUGAAGCAACGCGAAGAACCUCACUUACACUUGACAUCCCUCGCAUUACUUUUAAUAGAGGAAAUCCCUUCGGGGACAAGGUGACAGGUGGUGCAUGGUUGUCGUCAGUUAGUGUCGUGAGAGGUAGGGUUAAGUCCCGCAACGAGCGCAACCCUUGUCGUUAGUUAGUACCAUUAAGAUGAGGAUUCUAGCGAGACUGCGUGGGUUAACCAGGAGGAAGGUGGGGAGGACGUCAAAUCAUCAUGCCCCUUAUGUGUAGGGCUACACACGUGUUCCAAUGUGCUGGUCCAGAGAGAUGCAAUUCCGUGAGGUGGAGCCAAACUUUAAAACCAGUCUCAGUUCGGAUUGUAGGCUGAAACUCGCCUACAUGAAGUUGGAGUUACUAGUAAUCGCGAAUCAGAAUGUCGCGGUGAAUACGUUCCCGGGUCUUGUACACACCGCCCGUCACACCAUGAGAGUGGGCAAUACCCGAAGUCCGUGAGCUAACCGCAAGGAGGCAGCGGCCGAAGGUAGGCUCAGCGAUUGGGGUGAAGUC